UGUAAUUUCACAAGGCUUUUAGAUUAGUUUUGCAUUUGAUUCAAGUUUGGGUAUAGGUUUGAAGUUAAAAUCAAGUUGUGAGUUAGUUUUGGCAAAUUCCCCUAUAUUAUAUGGGUCAAUAAGCUAAAUAUUGCAAUAUUUUCUGGUUUUUGUGCUUAAAUAUAAGUAAGAAAUAUUUCAACAUAAAAUUCAUCAGGGUCAAGUGAUCCACAUCCCAAAGAGUUGGCUCCGCCACUGGUCAGGACUUGUCGUUACCUAUCCAAGUCGAGAACAGGACUAUACACAACAGUUUCCCAAGUCCCAACGAUGAAAUAGCAGACUGGGUUGUAGAAAAGAAAUUCUACUGUCCAGAACAUCCUUGUGUAUGUAUCCAAGAAUAUAAAGAGUAUCCAUGCACCGCCAUUUUUAACAAAAUGAACUUUAUAAUUAAACCGUCCGACCACUACCAUUACUAGAGAGAGCGCAACCAGCCAGAUGAACAGCCUGUUAUUGUAUUCUUUGAUAAUAAUGACCGUGCCUUCCCCAUCAUCUUCACACAAGCUGUUCUUUCCAAAUCUGAUCUCGGUGUGUGUAUAUUAUUACCUUGGUUAACCUUUGCUCAUAGUUUUGUUUCGAUGGACCGCCACAUUGUUUUUCAGAAAUUUGGUUGCAGUACAUGAAACUUGCAUUGAAGUUGGCCAUGGAAGGGAGUUGGAGAGCUUGUAAGUGGUCCAUGUCGUCUUUACACUUUGUAUAUUGCGCCUCACAGAGCUUUGACGAUUGGUUGUUUUUAUGUAAAUAUCGAGAAAUAUUUUUAAUACAUUAAAAAUAACCGAUUCAAUUUUUUUAUCUAUAAAAAAAUCUAAAUUUUUGAAAAAAAAUUUUGGUCAAAUUAGAUCCUUUUAUAUCGGAAUCUUAGAAGAUGCAUAGCUUAAAUUAGAUAUGUUUCAAUUUUUUAUUCAUCUACAAAUAUACUUCUCUUUCUUUGUAAUUUUAAAACACCUGUAGUUCAUUAUCUAAGAUGAAAAAUGCUUUUCAACCUUCGCUUAUUGGUCUCUUUAUGGUCACAGUUCUUCUGUUCGGAGUAAUGACGAUUGCUCAAAAAGGAAUAUCAUCACGUUAUUCUUGUGCACUCAUGCACAAACCGAAAAAUGGAUGUAAUAGGGACAUUUGUCAAGCUGAAUGUACCAAAGAAAGGAAUGGGACUGCUGCAUGCAUAUACCCGGAAUGCGGAUGCUUUUAUCACAGAAAUAAAAAUAAUAAGUGUUUACCUUGAUUUUUUUUAUCUACAUCGGAACUCAAAUAAUAUUUAUAAUAAUACGCGCCUUUAUCAGAGGAAAAAUUAUAAUAUUAUUAAUUGUUGUUUGUGUUUGUGGCAUAAUAAAUUGUAUUAUCUUACCAAAUAUAAAUAUAAAUAACAAAUAUUA